CACGUAGGGCGCGAGCGUUGUCCGGAAUUAUUGGGCGUAAAGAGCUCGUAGGCGGCCUGUUGCGUCCGCUGUGAAAGCCCGGGGCUUAACCCCGGGUCUGCAGUGGAUACGGGCAGGCUAGAGGUAGGUAGGGGAGAAUGGAAUUCCCGGUGUAGCGGUGAAGUGCGCAGAUAUCGGGAGGAACACCGGUGGCGAAGGCGGUUCUCUGGGCCUUACCUGACGCUGAGGAGCGAAAGCGUGGGGAGCGAACAGG
rnacentral:rRNA from 1 species